UGGGGUAUAGCUCAGUGGUAGAGCACAUAUUUAGGACAUAAGAAGGCCUGGGUUUGAUCCCCAGCAUUUAAA
rnacentral:tRNA from 1 species